rnacentral:rRNA from 1 species
UUAUCCCCCGUCGAAUCUACAAACAGGGAUUGCCUCAGUAACGGCGAGUGAAGCGGCAACAGCUCAAAUUUGAAAUCUGGCCCCCUCGGGGCCCGAGUUGUAAUUUGCAGAGGGUGCUUCGGCGUCGGCUCCGGUCUAAGUUCCUUGGAACAGGACGUCACAGAGGGUGAGAGCCCCGUACGUGGCCGGCAGCCUUCGCCGUGUGAAGCCCCUUCGACGAGUCGAGUUGUUUGGGAAUGCAGCUCUAAAUGGGAGGUAAAUUUCUUCUAAAGCUAAAUACCGGCUAGAGACCGAUAGCGCACAAGUAGAGUGAUCGAAAGAUGAAAAGCACUUUGGAAAGAGAGUUAAAAAGCACGUGAAAUUGUUGAAAGGGAAGCAGUUGCAGCCAGACUUGGCCGCGAGCGCUCAUCCGGGCUUCUGCCCGGUGCACUCGCCCGCGGUCAGGCCAGCAUCAGUUCGGGCGGCCGGAUAAAGGUCCCGGGAAUGUGGCUCCCCUCGGGGAGUGUUAUAGCCCGGGGCGCAAUACGGCCAGCCUGGACUGAGGUCCGCGCUUCGGCUAGGAUGCUGGCGUAAUGGCUGUAACUGGCCCGUCUUGAAACACGGACCAAGGAGUCUAACAUCUAUGCGAGUGCUUGGGUGUCAAACCCAUGCGCGUAAUGAAAGUGAACGGAGGUGAGAGCCGCAAGGCGCAUCAUCGACCGAUCCUGAUGUCUUCGGAUGGAUUUGAGUAUGAGCAUAGCUGUUGGGACCCGAAAGAUGGUGAACUAUGCCUGAACAGGGUGAAGCCAGAGGAAACUCUGGUGGAGGCUCGCAGCGGUUCUGACGUGCAAAUCGAUCGUCAAAUUUGGGUAUAGGGGCGAAAGACUAAUCGAACCAUC